rnacentral:rRNA from 1 species
ACAUGUCUUUAAGAUUAUAAUUUAAAGUCAAAUCUGCUCCAUGAUUAAAAAUUAAAUAGCUGCAGUAUUUUGACUGUACAAAGGUAGCAUAAUCAAUAGUUUUUUAAUUAAAAGCUGGAAUGAAAGAUUUAAUAAGGUAAAUAUUGUCUCAAUUUUAAUAAAGUUAAAAUUUUUUUUUUAGUAAAAAUACUAAAUUGUAUUUAAAAGACGAGAAGACCCUAUAGACUUUAAUAUUUUAAUUUUAAUUAUUUUAAAUAAAAAUUUUAUUUAGGUGUAAAAAUAUUUGAUUGGGGAAAUUAUUAAAUUAAUUAAAUUUUAAUUAUUUUUAAACAAAAAUUAUUGAUUUUAUGAUCUUGAUUUUUAAAUUGUAAGAAUAAAUUACCUUAGGGAUAACAGCGUAAUUUUUUUUGAGAGAUCAUAUUGAUAAAAAAGUUUGCGACCUCGAUGUUGAAUUAAGAUAAAAUUUUAAUGGAGAAGUUAAAAAUUUUUGGUCUGUUCGACCAUUAAAAUCUUACGU